rnacentral:rRNA from 1 species
AGAGUUUGAUCCUGGCUCAGGACGAACGCUGGCGGCGCGCCUAACACAUGCAAGUCGAACGAGCGAGAGAGAGCUUGCUUUCUCAAGCGAGUGGCGAACGGGUGAGUAACGCGUGAGGAACCUGCCUCAAAGAGGGGGACAACAGUUGGGAACGACUGCUAAUACCGCAUAAGCCCACGGGUCGGCAUCGACCAGAGGGAAAAGGAGCAAUCCGCUUUGAGAUGGCCUCGCGUCCGAUUAGCUAGUUGGUGAGGUAAUGGCCCACCAAGGCGACGAUCGGUAGCCGGACUGAGAGGUUGAACGGCCACAUUGGGACUGAGACACGGCCCAGACUCCUACGGGAGGCAGCAGUGGGGAAUAUUGCACAAUGGGGGAAACCCUGAUGCAGCGACGCCGCGUGGAGGAAGAAGGUCUUCGGAUUGUAAACUCCUGUUGUUGAGGAAGAUAAUGACGGUACUCAACAAGGAAGUGACGGCUAACUACGUGCCAGCAGCCGCGGUAAAACGUAGGUCACAAGCGUUGUCCGGAAUUACUGGGUGUAAAGGGAGCGCAGGCGGGAAGACAAGUUGGAAGUGAAAUCUAUGGGCUCAACCCAUAAACUGCUUUCAAAACUGUUUUUCUUGAGUAGUGCAGAGGUAGGCGGAAUUCCCGGUGUAGCGGUGGAAUGCGUAGAUAUCGGGAGGAACACCAGUGGCGAAGGCGGCCUACUGGGCACCAACUGACGCUGAGGCUCGAAAGUGUGGGUAGCAAACAGGAUUAGAUACCCUGGUAGUCCACACCGUAAACGAUGAUUACUAGGUGUUGGAGGAUUGACCCCUUCAGUGCCGCAGUUAACACAAUAAGUAAUCCACCUGGGGAGUACGACCGCAAGGUUGAAACUCAAAGGAAUUGACGGGGGCCCGCACAAGCAGUGGAGUAUGUGGUUUAAUUCGACGCAACGCGAAGAACCUUACCAAGUCUUGACAUCCUCUGACGAACGUAGAAAUACGUUUUCUCUUCGGAGCAGAGAGACAGGUGGUGCAUGGUUGUCGUCAGCUCGUGUCGUGAGAUGUUGGGUUAAGUCCCGCAACGAGCGCAACCCUUAUGGUCAGUUACUACGCAAGAGGACUCUGGCCAGACUGCCGUUGACAAAACGGAGGAAGGUGGGGAUGACGUCAAAUCAUCAUGCCCUUUAUGACUUGGGCUACACACGUACUACAAUGGCGUUAAACAAAGAGAAGCAAGACCGCGAGGUGGAGCAAAACUCAGAAACAACGUCCCAGUUCGGACUGCAGGCUGCAACUCGCCUGCACGAAGUCGGAAUUGCUAGUAAUCGCAGAUCAGCAUGCUGCGGUGAAUACGUUCNCCGGGCACUUGUACACACCGCCCGUC